rnacentral:rRNA from 1 species
GCAUAAUAACUUGCCUAUUAAUUGUAGGCUAGAAUGAAUGGGGUCACGAAAUAAGAACUUUCUUUUUUAUACUUAUUAUAAACUAAUAUUUAAGUGAAGAAGCUUAAAUAAAAUUAAAGGACAAGAAGACCCUAUAGAGCUUUAAUUAUAAAAUAUACUAUAUCUAACAUUUCGGUUGGGGCAACCUUGGAAUAAUUCAUCCAUAAUAAAAUAAGAUAAACAUAUCAAUAUUUUGAUCCUAUAAUAGAUCACAGGAACAAGCUACCUUAGGGAUAACAGGCUAAUCCCAUUACAGAGUCCUUAUCAACAAUGGGGA